GACAGAGGGUGCAACCGUUGUUCGGAAUUACUGGGCGUAAAGCGAGUGUAGGCGGUUUGGUAAGUCGGAUGUGAAAGCCCCGGGCUCAACCCGGGAAGUGCACUCGAUACUGCCAAGCUAGAGUAUCGGAGAGGUUGGUGGAAUUCUCGGUGUAGAGGUGAAAUUCGUAGAUAUCGAGAGGAACACCGGUGGCGAAGGCGGUUCUCUGGGCCUUACCUGACGCUGAGGAGCGAAAGCAUGGGGAGCAAACAGG
rnacentral:rRNA from 1 species